GUAUUGGCCUACCGUGGCAAUGACGGGUAACGGGGAAUUAGGGUUCGAUUCCGGAGAGGGAGCCUGAGAAACGGCUACCACAUCUAAGGAAGGCAGCAGGCGCGCAAAUUACCCAAUCCUAAUACAGGGAGGUAGUGACGAGAAAUAACAAUACAGGACUUUUUGGUUUUGUAAUUGGAAUGAGUUAAGUAUAAACCCCUUUACAAGUAUCAAUUGGAGGGCAAGUCUGGUGCCAGCAGCCGCGGUAAUUCCAGCUCCAAUAGCGUAUAUUAAAGUUGUUGCAGUUAAAAAGCUCGUAGUUGGAUUUCUGUUAAUAAUUUAUAUAAAAUAUUUUGAUGAAUAUUUAUAUAAUAUUAACAUAAUUCAUAUUACUAUUUUUUUUAGUAUAUGAAAUUUUACUUUGAGAAAAUUAGAGUGCUUAAAGCAGGCAUAUGCCUUGAAUACUCCAGCAUGGAAUAAUAUUAAAGAUUUUUAUCUUUUUUAUUGGUUCUAAGAUAAGAAUAAUGAUUAAUAGGGACAGUUGGGGGCAUUUGUAUUUAA
rnacentral:rRNA from 1 species